rnacentral:rRNA from 1 species
GCGUAAAGAGCUCGUAGGUGGUUUGUCGCGUUGUUCGUGAAAUCUCACGGCUUAACUGUGAGCGUGCGGGCGAUACGGGCAGACUUGAGUACUGCAGGGGAGACUGGAAUUCCUGGUGUAGCGGUGGAAUGCGCAGAUAUCAGGAGGAACACCGGUGGCGAAGGCGGGUCUCUGGGCAGUAACUGACGCUGAGGAGCGAAAGCGUGGGGAGCGAACAGGAUUAGAUACCCUGGUAGUCCACGGCCGUAAACGGUGGGUACUAGGUGUGGGUUAACUUCCUUGGGAUCCGUGCCGAAGCUAGCGCAUUAAGUACCCGCUUGGUGAGUUCGGCCGCAAGGCUUAAACUCAAAGAAAGUGACGGGGGCCCGCACAAGCGGCGGAGCAUGUGGAUUAAUUCGAUGCAACGCGAAGAACCUUACCUGGGUUUGACAUGCACAGGACGCCGGCAGAGAUGUCGGUUCCCUUGUGGCCUGUGUGCAGGUGGUGCAUGGCUGUCGUCAGCUCGUGUCGUGAGAUGUUGGGUUAAGUCCCGCAACGAGCGCAACCCUUGUCUCAUGUUGCCAGCGGGUAAUGCCGGGGACUCGUGAGAGACUGCCGGGGUCAACUCGGAGGAAGGUGGGGAUGACGUCAAGUCAUCAUGCCCCUUAUGUCCAGGGCUUCACACAUGCUACAAUGGCCGGUACAAAGGGCUGCGAUGCCGCGAGGUUAAGCGAAUCCUUUUAAAGCCGGUCUCAGUUCGGAUCGGGGUCUGCAACUCGACCCCGUGAAGUCGGAGUCGCUAGUAAUCGCAGA